rnacentral:tRNA from 1 species
GCAAGGGUGGCGAAACUGGUAGACGCACUGGCCUUAGGAGCCAGCCCUAGAAAUAGGAUGGGGGUUCGAGUCCCCCCUCUUGCACCA